AAGGGCCCGCCUCCGCCACGGCGUGGGGCAGCCGAGGCGAAGCCGGUCAUCAGCAUCACAGCGCCAGCCACCGGCCCACGGAUCGUCGCGCCGCCCUCCUUCGACGGCACCACCAUGCGCUUCGUGGUGGAGCACCAGUGAAGAGCGCAGGGAUAAGGAAGAAGAAUCACGCUCCUUUAAUCUGAAAUACACUUCGUAACUCUAAACAUACAUCCUAAAAACUGCUUCUACAGUUUUUUAAUUUUUUUGCUUCAUCAUACAAAACAAGUGUGUAAGUUUCCUGUUCCCUCUGAAAUACCCCCCAGUUUUGGAGUAUGCAUAUAUUUAAUUAUGCGAGCAACACUAAAUUACUGCAUUAUUUUCUGCAAAGUUGUUUUUGUAUUGAAGCCAACGUGCAGGCCUUAGGCGUUGCCUCUGUGCUGGUGGCUAGCGGUAGUGGUGCCACUACAGCUGUUUGUAAAACGCAGGGUGUAAAUGCAGCAGUGUUCCAGUGUGGAUCGACGCACAGCUGCGCCCAGGUCCCUGGAACAAGUUGUGAUGAUCCAGUGCAGCCCUGCAACCCUUUAAAAAAAAAAAGAGCCCUCAGCUCUCUCCCAUUGCAGUAAAUGAGGGUCUUCCCCAUAGGUUUUGGUGACGAUUUGUGAUCAGAUGUCUAUUUUGUACUCUCUACUUUGUACUUGGAAUCGCAAACGGAGAGAUCUGUAGUAUUUAGAUUAUCUUUAGUGUUUAUUUUUUGGCAUGGUUCAAAACAGAUUGUGUAAAUUUCAGAAAACACAUUUGAUUGCUUUCGUUUUUCAUUUGCUCCUCUGUACUGCCUUAAACAUCGCAAGCUGCCUUAAUGAUGACAGUGUUUAAAUACUGGAAAGCCAGAAAUUGAAUGUAAUAAUUUUAGACCCCAGUUCUAAAGGAGAGGACAGCAUUUGUUUUUCUUUAAGACCGCAGUCUUUUCUUGCUAAAAUUGCAACAUUGCUGAAAACACAAUCCUAGUGAUUCCCCCGUGAGAGUUUUUUAAUGUUACAGCCCCGAUAAUGCGUAGUCAUUUCCUUAGCUGUUGUUUGACAGGUUUAUCUGAGGGCUACAUCCACGCUAUCUGUAUUUGCUAAGAAAAUAUCUCUCCUUUGAGCCAGAAAAUAUAAAAUAAGAUUACUCAAAAUGCAGUGAUAUGUAUGUCCAUAUGUCAAACUUUGCUUAAACUGAUGGUUUUGUUGCCAGCAACCAGUUUGUCUCAGUGAAAGAGAAUGGUUAUCAUGACAGUAAAACUAAACUACGACAGUGUGUUCCCUGCCCAAAAUUUCAGUUCAGUGAAGCACUUUGGGAAGCCAAUAAAUGUAAGAUCAAGCCUAAAUUGUUUAGCAUAAAGCUUUCUCGAGGUAACAGGUUGGAAAUCUAAAAUCUAAAUGCAAAACCCAAAAGUCUGUACUUAAGCAUUUACCCACGGGCAGGAUUUUCCUGCACCUGUUCUCAAGGUUUCCUGCUGCUAAGGAAGUUUCAGGGUUUCCCGUUCUUAAAGAAAGCCCCAGCUUUUCAUUUCCAUGAAUAACUCUCAAGACGCAGAAAACUCAGCUACAACUGUCUUUAACGAUACACUUGAGAUUGUAUUUCAAUGCAAUUUAUUUGUUUACAGGCACAAACUGAAAUUACCCUCAGGAUGAAAUGCACUGCAAGUAUACAUAUAGUGAGUGAUUUAACAUAUAUCUUCUCAUUUAUCUUCAUCGUUGUGGAAAUCCAAUGAAAAAAUGCUCUUCUAACCCUUUUUAAAGAGCUUGGCGUGCCCAGCUAGAGCAUAUAGCGUGUAAGCUUAAUCCCCGUGCUCUUCGGUUGUACGGUCUACAGUUACAAGCUUUCGGGCUGAAUGCCUCUUAAAGAAAAUGGAUGCUUCUUCACCGUUUUCAUGACUGAUAAGUCCGUAGACGUUACGACUAGAGUAUCGGUAUUAAACGAAACAGUACUUCGGACUGCAGGACAGUGCAGGUACCAGAGUAGAUCGUCCACUGUGACAUACAGGUGUAUGGUACAUACAUUAUAAUACUAGCAUCCAUGUUUAAAAAUGUUUUGUCCUAUCUUUUCCUAUAUCGGUGCUCGGAGCGAAGUUUCACGUUUCAGUUUACAAGAUACAGGUUUGCACACACAAACUCAGGGUUUACAGUUUCACCCGGUGUACUUGAAAGGAAAAAAAAUGCCUAGAAAACAAAGUGCCCAGGAUUUCAACAUGUAUUUGUUGGAGGAAAAUUUUGCAGGGUUUUUUUUAACUGCCUGUGGAGACGAAAGCAAUGAAAUGAGGCAAUACCAACAGCUAUUUAUUUUCUCAGGGGAGAUUUCUUCAGUGGAAUGUGUCAAUUCUAAUGUCAAACAGUGUUUGCUUAAUUUUGUCUGUUACUAAAGAGACUCCGUGUUUGCAUCAAGGGGUCAGUUUUGCAAGCAGCUGAGCUUCGCAGACCCAGUCCAGCAAAGCCUUCACAUGCAUCUUUAACGUCAAAUAUCUAAGCGGAUUCCUGGGGACUUCAGUGGAAGCGCAGUCUCUUUUUUUUUUUUUUUUUUUUUUUUUACCCAUCAACAUAACGCUUUGCUGAACUUGGCCCAGAGCGCUGAGUGCCUUGCAGACCCGAGUCUCGGGUUCUUCACUUUAUAUGUAUAAAACCGGAGCUCUGGGCUUGAGUCUAGCCAGACCCAGCAGAUAGCGCCAUGAAAGGUCACCAGAAAAAAAUCCGGUAGUAUGGUGCUCCUCCAUGUAUACCCAGUGGUGAACUUCUCCAGCUGAUGGGGUGCUGUGUAACCACAUAUCUUGGAUUAGAGUCAAGCCCUCCGUGUCAGGGUUCACAAGCUGCUAGUAUUGUAUGUUUCACGGUGCAGUCAUAGUACGUUACAGCUGAAAUUCACCCCGUGUGCAAAGCAGGGCAAAAUCCUGUGCACCACUCAAGUUCCCCCCAGCCCUGCCGUCGGGGUUCGGGGUCUGCAACAGCCGGCCAGCCACUUCCACGCGUUUUCGGUCAGGAUCCAAUUAAAAGUUUGAGCGGGACUGGAGUGAUGCACGAACGUUGUUCUGGUCUUUUGCAGCAGGGUUGGUUUCACUCAGUUAAAUUUAAUCCUUGGUGAAUCACUUGAUGAAUGAUUUAAAAUGUAUUUAUGGGUUGUGUGGGUUUUGGUUUGUUUUUUUUUUUCUUGUCUGCAUUCAAAGCUGCCUUUACUCUCUAGUGUUGAUGGCCAAAGUGUCAUUCCUUACGCUUACAAAUUACCAUUAACUUGUGGCUACCUGAGAACACAUACACUACUUUAAAAAUGCUUGUGGUUUUUUUUCCCCUUUUUCUGGUCUUUUUCCUUUUUUUUUCUCUUUUCUUUUUCCCCCCUUUUUUAAGGGGGUGGGUUAUCAGUGUAAAGAUAUUUAAAAGUGCAAAUGUGAAGUAAGGAUAAUGAUUGUUAAGAGGAUGUGGGUGAUAUGUCUGAUGAGAGAGCGGUGGGCUAUAAGGCAAAGGGGAAAAUGCCGUGAACGCGUUGUGUUGAUGAUUGUUGCCUGUGGGGGGAAAAAAUAAAAAAAAGAAGAUAUGUAACUGGAGAAAAAUGGACUCUCUGAGCUGCUCUCAACAUAGACGACACUGUGGCAAGUGCGUAGCCGAAGCCCGAAGUGAUCCCACUGCAGGAUGCCGUGAGCCUGGGAUUGAAGGACAGCAGAGUCGCUCUGAGAAUUGCACUAGCAGCGUGUUGCACGUCGGGAACGCUCCAGUACGUCACGACCACGUGAGAACGGACUGUCUGAAACCGCUGAGUACCAAAGUUUGUAACAGAAUGAGUUAGCAUUUGUAUUAUGUUGGGUUUUUUUUUUGAAUGUUAUGAUAAAUAAAAUGUAUUUUUCAGUAAAAGACACACUGCAAGU